rnacentral:rRNA from 1 species
UUAAACGGCCGCGGUACUCUAACCGUGCAAAGGUAGCACAAUCACUUGUCCUCUAAAUAAGGACUAGAAUCAACGGCAUCACGAGGGUCUUACUGUCUCCUUUUUCCAAUCAGUGAAACUGAUCUUCCCGUGAAGAAGCGGGAAUAACUUUAUAAGACGAGAAGACCCCAUGGAGCUUCAAACUCAUCAGUUACCCUAUGCAAAUUACACGACAAUUUAGGGGGUUAUCUGCCAGUUUUGGGUUGGGGUGACCACGGAGAAUAGCAUAACCUCCGCAAUGAAAAAGAAUAACAUCUUUAUCUGAGAGCCACACCUCUAAGAAUUAAAAAAUUAACAUAUAAUGUUCCGAUACUUUGUAUUCGAUCAAUGAACCAAGUUACCCUGGGGAUAACAGCGCCAUCCACUUUGAGAGUUCAUAUCGACAAGUGGGUUUACGACCUCGAUGUUGGAUCAGGGUAUCCCAGUGGUGCAGCCGCUACUAAAGGUUCGUUUGUUCAACGAUUAAAACCCUACGUGAUCUGA